rnacentral:tRNA from 1 species
CAGAGAAUAGUUUAAUUAAAAUUCUGGCUUUGGGAGUCAGGGAUAUGGGUUAAACCCCCCUUUUUCUGA